rnacentral:rRNA from 1 species
ACAACACCUAGGAGGAUCCUGAGUACGGCGGAACACGAGAAAUUCCGUCGGAAUCCGCGGGGACCAUCCCGCAAGGCUAAAUACUCCCUAGUGACCGAUAGUGAACCAGUACCGUGAGGGAAAGGUGAAAAGCACCCCGGAAGGGGAGUGAAAUAGAUCCUGAAACCGUGUGCCUACAACAAGUCAAAGCUCGUUAAUGAGUGAUGGCGUGCCUUUUGUAGAAUGAACCGGCGAGUUACGAUUGCAUGCGAGGUUAAGUCGAAGAGACGGAGCCGCAGCGAAAGCGAGUCUGAAUAGGGCGAAUGAGUAUGUAGUCGUAGACCCGAAACCAUGUGAUCUACCCAUGUCCAGGUUGAAGGUGCGGUAAAACGCACUGGAGGACCGAACCCACGUACGUUGAAAAGUGCGGGGAUGAGGUGUGGGUAGCGGAGAAAUUCCAAACGAACUUGGAGAUAGCUGGUUCUCUCCGAAAUAGCUUUAGGGCUAGCCUCGGAAUUGAGAAUGAUGGAGGUAGAGCACUGUUUGGACUAGGGGCCCAUCUCGGGUUACCGAAUUCAGAUAAACUCCGAAUGCCAUUCAUUUAUAUCCGGGAGUCAGACUGCGAGUGAUAAGAUCCGUAGUCGAAAGGGAAACAGCCCAGACCACCAGCUAAGGUCCCAAAAUAUAUGUUAAGUGGAAAAGGAUGUGGGGUUGCACAGACAACUAGGAUGUUGGCUUAGAAGCAGCCACCAUUUAAAGAGUGCGUAAUAGCUCACUAGUCGAGUGACCCUGCGCCGAAAAUGUACCGGGGCUAAACAUAUUACCGAAGCUGUGGACUACACCAUUAGGUGUAGUGGUAGGAGAGCGUUCUAAGGGCGUUGAAGGUCGAUCGUGAGGACGGCUGGAGCGCUUAGAAGUGAGAAUGCCGGUAUGAGUAGCGAAAGACAGG